rnacentral:rRNA from 1 species
UACGUAGGGUGCAAGCGUUGUCCGGAAUUAUUGGGCGUAAAGAGCUCGUAGGCGGCUUGUCGCGUCGGCUGUGAAAACCUGGGGGCUCAACCCCCGGGCCUGCAGCCCGAUACGGGGCAAGCUAGAAUUCGGUAGGGGGAGACUGGAAUUCCUGGUGUAGCGGUGAAAUGCGCAGAUAUCAGGAGGAACACCGGUGGCGAAGGCGGGGUCUCUGGGCCGAUAUUGACGCUGAGGAGCGAAAAGCGUUGGGGGAGCGAACAGG